rnacentral:rRNA from 1 species
UACAGAGGUCUCAAGCGUUGUUCGGAUUCAUUGGGCGUAAAGGGUGUGUAGGCGGCCAGGUAGGUCUGCUGUGAAAACUCGAGGCUCAACCUCGAGACGUCGGCGGAAACCAUUUGGCUAGAGUCCGGAAGAGGAGAGUGGAAUUCCUGGUGUAGCGGUGAAAUGCGCAGAUAUCAGGAAGAACACCCGUGGCGAAGGCGGCUCUCUGGGACGGUACUGACGCUGAGACGCGAAAGCGUGGGGAGCGAACAGG